rnacentral:lncRNA from 1 species
UUUAUCAUUAGCCUCAUCCUUGCAACCAUAUUUAUAUACACAGGCCAAAAAGCUGUCUUCUCUAACUGGCACUGGAUAACAAUCCAAACCCUAAAACUCUCACUCAACUUCAAACUGGACUACUUCUCUAUAAUAUCCAUUCCAGUGGCACUAUUCAUUACAUGAUCCAUCAGAGAAUUUUAAAUGCGGUAGAUACACUCAGAUCCCAACGUGAACCAAUUUUUCAAGUACUUACUCAUUUUUCUCAUUACCAUAUUAAUUCUGGUUACUGCCAAAAACCUUUUCCAACUUUUUAUCGGGUGAGAAGCCGUAUGGUUUAUAUCUUUCCUAUUAAUCAGCUGAUGAUAUGGCCGAACAGAUGCUACUAUAGCAGCCUUUCGGGCAAUCCUAUAUAACCGCAUCGGUGACACUGGCUUUGGUUUAGCAAUAGCAUGAGUCCUCCUAUUCUCCAACACAUGAGAAUUUCAACAAAUGUUUAUUUUAAAUCCCAACCCCAGUAUCUUUCCAAUAAUUGGUCUUCUGGCAGGGGCUGGAAAAUCAGCCCAAUUUGGCCUCCAUCCUUGACUUCCAUCAGCUAUAGAAGGCCCAACACCAGUCACAGUUCUGCUCCAUUCUAGCACAAUAGUUGUAGCAGGGGUUUUCCUACUUAUCCAAUUUCACCCUUUAACAGAAACAACUUAAUCAUUCAAACCCUCAGAUUAUGCCUAGGAGCUAUCACUACACUAUUUAUAGCCAUCUGUGCCCUGACACAAAAUGAUGUUUAAAAAAUUGUAGCAUUAUCCACCUCAAGUCAAUUAGGCUUUAUAACAUUCACAUUUGGUAUUAAUCAACCUCACUAAGCAUUUCUUAACAUUUGUACCCAUGCUUUCUUCAAAGCCAAAUUGUUCAUAUGCUCUGGAUCUGUUAUCCAUUAACUUCAGUGAUGAACAGGAUAUCCGAAAAACAGGUGGGUUAUUUAAGGCCCUACCCUUCACCUCUUCCUCACUUAUUUUUUUUUCUUCCUCACUUAUUAUUGGCAGCCUUGCACUCACAGGAAUACCUUUCCUCAUAGGUUUCUACUCCAAAGAUCUCAUUAUCAAAACUGCAAACGUCGUGUACCAACGCAUGAGUCCUUUUAAUUACUCUCAUUGACACCUCCCUAAUAGCUGUCUACAGCACCCAAAUAAUUUUUUUCACACUGUUAGGACAACUUCACUUCACAACUUCAAUUAUCAUCAACAAAAACAAUCCCCUCCUAAUUAAUGCAAUCUAACACCUGACAAUUGGUAGCAUUUUCGCCAGAUUCUUCAUCUCCAGCAACAUUACUCUAAUAUCAAUUCCCCAAAUAACUAUGCCACUCCACCUAAAACUUGCAGCCCUUGGUGUAAGUAUUUUAGGCAUUUCACUAGUAACAGAACUUAACCUCAUGACUAAAAACCUUAAACUUAAGCAUCCAUCACAAACAUUUAAUUUCUCAAACAUAUUAGGGUUUUAUCCAAUCACAAUACAUUGUGCAACUGCCCCCCACACUCAAAUCUACAUGCAAGUCAAAAUCUAGCCUCCAUUCUACUAGACUUAAUUUGAUUAGAAAAAUCAAUGCCAAAAACACUGCUCAAGUCCAAAUUUUAGCCUCCACCAUUGAAUCUACCCCGAAAGGCCUAAUUAAACUCUAUUUUUUCUCCCUCCUUAUUCCAUCUCUCCUAACUCUAUUCUUAAUUAUUUAA